CAGCCCCCCCUUGUUCUUGACAACGCCGACGGAAAGGAGGAAAGGGGAAGGGAGCUGCUGCAGAGCGGCGGGAAGGGAGGAAGGCGCUGGCGACGGCGGCGGCGAGCUGGGCGGCACGUAGGCGGUGCGGGGAAGAAGACAGUCGACGGGGAGAGGGAGAAGGAAGGGAGGAAGGAAAAGGAGGAGGGGGAGGGGAAAAA
rnacentral:lncRNA from 1 species